AUCCAGUUGACGAUUCCCAAAUAGGACAAAAGACGCGUCCUGGAU
rfam:Schistosoma curassoni strain Dakar, Senegal genome assembly, scaffold: SCTD_scaffold0000057